CGUCUCUCCCUCUCUGCCCUAACUUUCACGAAGCUCCCUGCGAGCUGCUCCACCAACGACUGUGCUCACCUCAAUCCCUGCACACGAAACUCCCUGCGAGCUGCUCUCUGCUCUCUGCUUCCUGCUUCCUUCUUCCUGCUCCCUGUAAACAAAAGGAAGGAGAGGAAGAAAGUCGCUCUUCCUCGCAGAUCUAGCUCCCUGCUUCCUGCAAAUACAAAGGUACAUUGAAAUCUUUGUUUCCAGCCACUGCUCUUCACCCUCUACGAAGACGAUGCAGAUCUACCGCCGGAGAGCUUACCAUGUUGAUCCAGCCAGGUUGAAGUUCGAUUUUAUCAGGGAGAGUACUUUUUUUCAGUCUCUGUGCACGAAGGUAAAACUCGACUCUCUGUGUCUCUCUCUUUCUCUAAAAAGGCAUCGAAAUCACUGAGCUAGAUCUGUGAUUUGAAUGUGUGAAGUAUGGAAUGCGAUUUUAGGGUUGCUUUCCUUGGCUGAUUUGAAUUUGUUUUCAAUAAAAUUUCAAUCUCUCUCUACUGUGUAUUUACUUGCUGUUUCUGUCCAACCAUGGACAUGGUUAGUACAUACCCAAUGUCCUUGGUUCCUAAUUUUGAUGAUAAUUUUGAUGUUCAUUCUCUCUCUCUCAGAGCUACCUAAUUUUGAUGAUAAUGGGAUGUUCUUUUUUUAUUUUCUUUUAAUCAUUGAACCUGGAACCUGCAAAAGUGGUUCAUUACAAAUUUUACAGUUCGGGGAAGGAGUUCUCUUAUUAUAAAACCUGUUUAAAGCCCCAGAAAAAAGAAAGAAUUGAAGAAUUGAAGAAUUGAAGAAUUGGAUAGCCAUGUUUGUGAUUGGAAAUAAGUUGCCUUUUCAUGUACUCUGGCAGAAUUGGAUGCAACGUGUAGGAUCUUGUUUGCUUGUUAUAUUCUCUAUGAUAGGAUGUAGAAUCUUUUUUGUAGGUAAA